CAGUCAGUGGUUCAUGAUCAUGGUUAUAUGACGCAUAUGAUAUUUGAACUCAUAUUUUUAAUAUUGUAUGCAUAUGUGUACAUUAUUAAGCUAAAGUACAUAAUAAAUCUUGUUAAUAAUUCAUUUUUUUAUACUGCAAAUUUAUUAAAUUUUCAAAACUUACAUCGUAAAAAUGGGGACAUUGGAAUUAAAACAAACUUUGAGUGGUCAUAGGGGAAGGGUAUGGAAUAUUUGCUGGCAUCCAAAGGGUAGUUAUCUUGCAUCUUGUGGUGAAGAUAAAACAAUUAUAAUAUGGGGACCACAAGAUCCAAAAUGGGUUGUAAAAACGAUUCUUAUUGAGGGUCAUACUAGAACUAUUAGAGAAGUUGCAUGGUCUCCUUGUGGAAAUUACAUAGCUUCUGCUAGUUUUGAUGCAACAACUGCAAUAUGGGAUAAAAAAACAGGACAAUUUGAGUGUAAUGCAACUUUAGAAGGACACGAGAAUGAAGUGAAAAGUGUUAGUUGGUCUUGUAGUGGACAUUUAUUAGCUACAUGUAGUCGUGAUAAAUCUGUCUGGAUAUGGGAAGUUAAUGAUGAUGAAUAUGAAUGUGCUGCUGUUAUUAAUGCUCAUACUCAAGAUGUCAAGAAGGUAAGAUGGCAUCCUAAUGAAGAAAUUGUAGCAUCUGCUAGUUAUGAUAAUACAGUAAAAAUAUUCAAAGAAGAUAUAGUGGAUAAUGAUUGGUCAUGUGUAGCAACAUUAUCAUCCCAUACAUCAACAGUUUGGAGUCUUGCAUGGGAUAAACAGGGUAAUCGAAUUGCAACUUGUAGUGAUGAUCAAACAGUGAAAAUAUGGCAAGAAUAUAAGCCUGGUAAUGAACCAGGGAUUAUUACAACAAAUAAUGAAUCUGUUUGGAAAUGUGUGUGUACAAUAACUGGUUAUCAUACAAGAACAAUUUAUGAUAUUGAUUGGUGCAAAAUAACUGGUUUAUUAGUGACUGCAUGUGGUGAUGACAUUAUUAGAAUAUUUAAAGAAGAUAGUGAUUCUGAUCCUCAUCAACCGACUUUUACAAUGGUUUGUUCUAUGGAUACUGCACAUACUCAAGAUGUAAAUUCUGUACAAUGGAAUCCUAUUGUUCCUGGACAACUUGCAUCAGCUAGUGAUGAUGGUUGUCAUAAAUGUUUAAACAAUUCAGUGGAUUUAAACAAAGCUAUAAAUUGAUAAUUUUCAAGAUUGCAUUUAGAUACAACAAAAUAUUUUGUACAAUGACUGAUAUUCAGAAUAAUUCUACUGGGAUUCCUUUAAACCAAGUUGUAGAUACACUUAAAAAUUUUGCAAAUCUAUCACUUGCAGAUUCCUGGGAUAAUGUAGGAUUACUUAUUGAACCUACAGAAAUAAAAUUGAUUUCACAUAUUCUUUUAACAAAUGAUUUAACUGAAAAUGUAAUGCAAGAAGCUUUAAAUUUAAAAACAGAUAUGAUUAUUACUUAUCAUCCUUUGAUAUUUUCACCUAUGAAAUCCAUAACAAGUUGCUCAUGGAAGGAGAAAAUUGUUGCAAAAUGUUUAGAACAUAAAAUAGCUGUGUAUUCUCCACAUACUACAUUCGAUUCGAUUAGAGGUGGUGUAAAUGAUUGGUUAGCUUCCACAUUUGAAAAUGUGCUCGAAAAUAGCAUACCCAUAAAAGCAAAUGUAAAUAAUAGUGAUUAUGGUUUCGGACGAUUAUGCACUUUAAAAAAUAAAAUUUCUAUUGAUGAAGCUGUCCAACGAGU